ACUUGUUUGAGAUUGGCGGUUUGAGAGAACCCCCGAGAUUAUAAGGUAGGUGGUGCAUGGCCGUUUUCAACACGUGGGGUGACCUGUCUGGUUAAUUCCGUUAACGCGUGAGGCCCUGUAGGCAAUGAUGUUGCCUGACGGAUGGCGGCAAGCCAUAGGAAGUGGGGCCAUAACAGGUCAGUGAUGCCCCUAGAUGUUCUGGGCUGCACGCGCAAUACAAUGGCACGGUGAGACUAUGCACUGAGAAGUGUGUUCUAAUCCGUGCCGAAGCUGGGAUAAGCUCUUGUAAAUGAGCUUUGAACGAGGAAUUCCUAGUAAUCGCAAGUCAUUAUGUUGCGAUGAAUGCGUCCCUGUUCUUUGUACACACCGCCCGUCACUAUCUCAGAUGGAUGUAUUGAUGAAAUGGCUGGACGCAAGUAAGGCAGUUGAAUCAGUGCAACUAGAUAAGAUAUAAGUCGUAACAAGGCUGCUAUAAGUGAACUUGUGGCAGGAUCAUUAUCAAAUUAAUACACAACCGUUAUGCGGUAACACAAAUAGUAAAAUCAAUCCACUGAUAAGGGAUCUCUCGGUUUCUGUAUCGAUGAAGAACGCAGAAGCGUGCGAUAAUCGACAGUAUUCUUAGACGUGACUGCUCGGUCUUCGAAUGUGUGGCGUUGCCAUAGAAUACCCCUCGGACUUAAGCAUAUUAUUAAAGGGAGGAAAAGAAACUAACAAGGAUUUUCUCAGUAGUGGCGAAUGAACAGAAAACAGCCCUCAUGGUAAAACAGCGCAAGCUGUGUUGUAAUAACGCUAUAGCGAAGCUUUUAGGAAAAAAGCCCGAUACAUGGUGACAGGCCAGUAGCUAGUAGUU
rnacentral:rRNA from 1 species